rnacentral:lncRNA from 1 species
AAGUAAGUAGCACUGCUUGAUUUACCAGAGCAACUUUGUGAUUUUCAUUCUUUAACUGAUUAAGGUUUAUUUAUUCAUAAAUUAAAUUGGAAGUUUCGAAAAAUGUGACCUUUGUAUUGAAUCUGCUUCGAACUAAUGCAAUUUUUAUCUACCUGAUUGUAACUUAAAAUGAACUAUUUCUAUUUGCUCAAUUUUUGACAUUUUAUAUGCAUACAAGUUAAAAAGGUUUUGUUUAUUUUUAUUUUUUUAUUUUUUCAGGUAAUGCAGAUUAGGGAAAAGAUUCAUGGAGCACAUCAUGAUAUGAUGGUGGAAGAUGCACUGCCCCAUGAUGGAUUGAAAAAGAGUCUGACUAUAGUGGAAAGCAAGACCGAGGAAGUAAUAGAAGACAGUGUUCAACCUGAAGAGCCAGAAGAGAAUGAUGAUAUUACUAGAUAUGGACCGGCAAUUUCAGGUGAGUUUGUGGAAGAAACAAAUUCAGAUGAGGGGUGGCAAGAAGCCAAUCCAAAAGGUAGGUCAGGAAAUGCUGCUGUUCGGAAGCUCAGCCGGAGGCGGCCUGUUCUUACAAAGCUAAAUGUCAAUGGUUGUGAACAUUCAAAUCUUAGAGAAAAAGGCAAUAGACGGGAAAUUGUAUCUCCAGCACGGGAAAAAGCUUCAAGGACCACCACCACUGAGUUAACAGGCAUGAAGGAUUCAAUUAAAUUGCAGGCAAAAGCUUCUGUCUCCAAAGUUUAUGCAAGUCCACCAAACCUUACUGCCAUGGCUUCCAAGUCGCUGUCUUACAAAGAAGUAGCUGUGGCACCUCCAGGUACGGUUCUAAAGCCAUUACCAGAGAAACCGGAUGAAGAAAUUGAAGAAAAAACUGAAACACAGAUGUGCAGUAAUGCUCCUGAGACAUCAAAGGCGGAGUUGAAUAACCAUUUCUCUCCCGUUGAAGAUGCGCCAGUUGAUGGUCAGUCUCAAGAAACUCAUGGAAGUGUAACUCAAUCUGAAACUACUGCUGCAGAUACCGAGGAAGUUCCUUCUUCUUCUAAUGAGGAAAAGCCCAUGGAAACAAAUGGGAGUAAGCUUUCUGCCACAGCUGAACCAUUCAACCCAGGAGCUGUCUCCAUGACUCAUCUGCUAAACUCUGUAGCAGCCACGAGUAUUUAUGAUGCGAGAACUAGUCAAGGUAUGCUUGCAGAACCUGCUGUACCUUCGGCUGCUGCUAGAGUUCCUUGUGGGCCAAGGUCGCCUCUCUAUUAUAGAAAUAAUUAUUCUUACAUGAUGAAACAUGGAUUUCCAAAAUACCACUCUUCCAUUAUGGAAAGAAACCUGUUGGGGCCUUCAAGAAUCAUGAACCCGCAUGCACCUGAGUUUGUGCCAAUGAGAGGUUGGCAAAUAAAUCCUGGAUAUGCAGAUUCAAAUGUUUCAAAUGAGUCGAACUCUUCAAAUGACACAAGUGAGGCAGACGAUGAGAAACUUGACAAAAUGUCCAGUAUUCAAGGCGAGGAUAAUACCUCAAGAAAGAGCAGUACAGAGGCGGAGAAGUCAGAGCUGGCAAGACAGAUACUACUUAGCUUCAUUGUAAAGUCAGUCCAGCAUAAUAUGGAUGCUCCAAGUCAUUCUUCAGGCUACGAAAAGAAGAUUGGGUAUUCUGAAAAUUCUUCAGAUGCAAUUGCAAAUGAUAAAUUGUUAGUUAACAGAUUGCAAAUGAUCCUUUAUGGAAAUGAAAAGGGCAAAACAAACUUGGCAUCUCAGUCCAAUGAUCAAGAACAGCAAAAACCGAAAGAUGAAAACCAAAAAAGUGGGGAUGGUGAAGGAUUUAUAGUUGUCAGAAAACGGAGAAGAAACCGACAGCAGAUCACAAAUGGGGUAACUGAGAUGUACAAUCAUCAAUCCAUCUGUGCUUCUGUUCGUUAAAAGAGAGAGCAAAGCAAUAAAAUGCAAAGGUGCCGUCCUGUUUCUCCCAAUUUUAUUCGAAAAAUUUGUCAGUGAAUGUUACCGUUGUAGAAAUGGUUAAAGUUUGGAGCAAGUUUUAAUCAAUACUUGAUUGUAUCAUUUUAGACAUCCUCUCUGGAUGUUCUAAUAUAAUAUUUGUACAAAUUGGUUUCUUGUUUUGUUAAGAGAUUUUGUUUUGAUCAAUAAAUGAUGAUAAAUUAAUUGGGCGAUUUUCCUCAUCAAGAGAUCUGUGAUGUUGUUCUAUAAUGGAUCUUAAUGUUUUAGACUGAGAUUUGUAGUUAUGCCUCAAAUUAUUUGGUAUUUGGUUGGUGCGUGUGAACAAUACGUUCGGAAUGGAGUUGAAUUGGGUUAUCUUAUAUCAAAUGUCUGAAAUUUAAUUUUCUUACAUUUGCAGCUGAAGUUGCUGCACUGAUGAUAUUACAACUAACAUAGUAUUUGGCAAAAUUCCUCAUUCAAUUUAAAUUUGCAAUCAACAGAAACUGAAGAACAAGCCGUAAGUCUAAUCCUAAUGGAUGCAUAGCUGUUUGGAGAAAAGCCAACGGAGACAUAACACAGCACGAUAAGUUAUACACGGCAGAACCGUAUGUGCUAGUAAGCACAGUCACCAAUGGAAAACAUAUUUGAAAAGCCAAUAGUAGCAUGUGUCAAUACAUCUAUCAAUGAAAUAGAACCACAGUCUGCGCCAGUACGAGUUUAUCCAAAGUGCUGCAAAGAAGCCCAAAAUCACCGACACAUAGGAUGCUCCAAAACUCCAUCUUAAUGCCACCAUAUCAAUCACAGAAUCGCCUUCAUCUUCUCCUCCUCCUGUAGGUGUCGCUGGUGGUGCCAACGCACUGCUGCAUUUCCUCUUUAUCAUUGAGCCACAAAGAGCCGAAUUACCUUUAUAACUGCUGUCAUCAAACGUGCCAAACUGCUCUUUGUCUGGGAUUGGGCCGGACAAAUUGUUGUAUGACACGUUGAAGUUUGAUAAAAAGUUGAGGUCAGUUAGUUGAAGAGGAAUUCGGCCACUUAAUUUGUUGCGGGAAAGGUCCAGGCUCUCUAUCAUUUUCAGAUUGGAGAAGCUCUCUGGUAUAGCACCUGAUAGUAAAUUAUUGGACAGAUUAAGUGCACGAAUAUGUUGAAGAUGCCCAAUUUCCCAUGGAAUUUCUCCACUGAACUCAUUGCUCGAAAAAUCCAAUCCAGCCAUGUCGACGAGAUUGAGACCGAUGAAAAAUUCAUAUCUAUACUUUGUCACAAAUUCUACACCUACUUGUUGAUCUACUCUACUAUGUAGUUCACCUUGCGGCUGCUGAUCAAGAGUGGAAUUGUAGUAAGUAGAAGCGGAAUCAUGAUUAGACACACCAAAUCCAGAUCCAUAUGAAUAAUCAACAAUCACUUCUCCCCAGAAUGACAGGUUACCCAGGCAUGAAGGUAUCGGCCCAUUAAGUCUGUUAUGUGAAAGAUCCAUGAUACCUAAUUUUCUUAAUUGGCACAACUGAUUAGGAAUACGUCCUUGUAGAUAAUUCCCUCUCAAAAGAAGAACAUGCAAAUUCGAAAGCUCAUUGAUCUGAUGAGGAAUCCUACCAAAAAGUUUAUUGUCCCUCAAAUCUAGAGUCAAUAAUGUAGAGCUUCGAAGCAAUGCAAUUGGAAUUAACCCAUUAAUUGCAUUGUUAUGCAGAUAAAUGUGCCCCACUGAUGAAAGAUUGGAGAGAGAUACCAUGGACCCAGACAAACUAUUUUCGGAUAUGUCUAUAAACUCAAGACUUUCAAGAUUGCCGAGCUGGACCGGAAUACUACCUUGCAAAUAAUUUUCUGACAUUAAAAGAAGCCAAAGGUGUGAGAAGUUGCCAAUCCAGUGGGGAAUAUCGCCGGAUAACUUGUUGUUGGAUACAUCUAAUACCCCCAGCAAAGGGGAGCUCAACAAACCAUCUGUCAUCUUCCCACUGAAAUGAUUGUUGUCCAAACGUAAGGAACGCAAAUGAGUCAAGUUCAUAUAAUUGGGAAAAAGUUGGCCAUAGAAAUUGUUAUUUGAUAGGUCCAACAUAUCUAAGGGGAGGCAACUAGAGAAUAUAGAUCGAGUUAAUUCUCCUGAAAAAUUAUUUCCAGACAAAUCCAAAGUAAUUAGCUCUUUCAUCUCACUGAUUGAAUAAGGAAUAUUACCUUCAAAACUAUUUUUUGACAUAUCCAAAUAUAUCAAUUUCUGAAAGACAAUACCCAAAUUCUCUGGUAGCUUACCAGAGAAAUUGUUAGUGGAAAUAUCUAGAUAACGAAGCUUAUCGUAUUUGGCAUUGGGAAGUCGCGGAAGAAUUCCUGAGAAUGAGUUAUUCCACAAAAUCAAAACUUCUAAUCCUGUGUUGUUUUGCAACAACCAAGUUGGGAAAUUGCCAACCAACUGAUUGUGAGAGAGAUCAAGGAAUUUUAAGUUGGAUUGGUGUAAAAGAAAACUGGGAUUGACAUUUAAGCGGCAGUGAGGUAAUUGGAGAACCUUGAGAGGAUAUGUGGGGAGCCAGUUUUCGGUUUUCACUUGCAACAUAUCGUUUUGUGGCGAGAGUAGCAAGACCUCAAGCUUUGAAUGAUUAGCCAAUGAAUUUAUUGAGAAUGUUCCUUGGAAAUCGAUGAAAGAGAGAUCCAAAUAUUCAAGUGAUGUGAGGUUGGUCAAGGCAGAAGGAAAUUUUCCACUUAACUGAUUGUAAGAAAUAUCAAGAACUUUGAGAUGGGUCAAGUUGUUGAGACACUGAGGAAGGUGAACCACAAAAUUAUUUAACCUUAAAUCCAACUCAAGAAGAUUCUUCAAAUUACAUAUUCCUGAAAGUGAAAAUAAAAAGCUCAGAUGUCAUAAAACGAAAACUAAUUAUAGCGCAUUCAAUCAUAAACCCAAUAUAAGACUUAUAAAACAGUCAUGAAAUCAAAUUGUCUAAGUAUUUUGGUCAACAUAAAUAAUAAUAGAAUGAUAUGAAUUUAUUUCUCAUAUAAUAUGAUGUUGAUUGCAAAAGCGUUUCAAUUAAUCUAACAAUAAAAUAAUAAUAAUAAUAAUAUAAAAGCAGUCAGCAAUUCUUGCUCAUCAUAAUCCAUUCAAAAAGCAUUUCAGCAAUUCUCGUUGUUUAAAAUAAUGAUUUUCUGCGGAAGAGUUUGUUGACUUCGUCUUUUUCGUUGGAUAUUGGUUCUCUAAUCUCUAAAUUUGUUGGAUAAUGUAAAGAGAAACUCAUAAUAUAUUAGUUGCUUUCUUAAACUUUAUUUAUUCUUCUCAUAGCAUUAAAAAAAUAUAUAUAUUUGCCCAAGCGGAAAAAAAAAAAAAAGCUGGUCUUCAUAUUUAAUUUGACCAACAAGUCACUGGGAAGUAGGAAUUGUGUAUCAGUAAUGCAAAUAUUGGGUGCGUUGGCAUUGUUUUUAUAUGCUUUUUUUUUUUAUUUUUUGAAUUUAGAAAACAUUAGAUACGUGUUCGGUAGAUUGUUUCUGAAAAUAUUUUUAAAAAUAUAAAAUUCAUUCUACACAUUUUAACAAAAGAAAUGAGAAACAAUUUUUUCUUAUUUUCCUUAUUUCCCAAUACAAUAUUAAGUUCCAAAAUGAAGAAUUCUCUGUACCUCCUCCUGAAAUAAUAAUAAUAUCAACAUUAUUAUUAUUAUUAUUAUCAUUAGGUCUAAUUAUCCCUAGGUGACAGAUGUUUUAAUAAAUUUCAAAAAAAUGACACAUGUUUUGAAAACACUCGAGUGGGUGACAUUCCAUUAACUUUUGUUGUUAAUUUUAACCAGUCGAGGGUAGAGUUGAAAAAAUAAUUUUUUUUUUCAUAAAGCCAAAGAGAUGAAAAUAUUGAAUUUAUACAGUACUUUAUAAUUCAUAAGAUUUUUGCUUCUUUAUAUUCACAAAUCAGUUUGAUCAACAAGAAUUUUUUAAAAUUUAUUUGAUUUAACAAAAAAAACCUGGUAAUUAGACUUAUGUUUAUUUUUUUAUAUUUUAUAUUUAAAAAAUUAAAAAUGAGUGAGUAUGGGCAGAAACAUCAUUUUGUGGGGUAGAAAAGUCAUUUAAUUUACUAUUCUCAUUAAAAUUAAUGACAAAAGUUAAUAGAAUGUCACUCGCUCAAAUAUUUUUAAAAAAUGUCAUCUUCUUAAAAUUUGUUAAAACAUAUGUCACCUAGAGAUUAUUGUUGUUGUUGUUGUUGUUGUUGUUGUUGUUGUUGUACCCAAAGAAUCAUUUUCCUUCACAAAAAUCUUUUCUUUUUAUAUACAUUAUAAUAUUUAUGUUUUUAUAUAUUAACUAAAUCAAAUAUGUAGGGUUUAUCAUUUUUCUUUGAACAAAAAAAUAGAAAGAUCACCUAAUUUAUUCUUAAAAUUAAAAUAAUCAAUAUACAUUGCUUAAUCUUAAGUUUAUGGAAAUUAUUCCAAUAAUAAUUCUUUGAGAUAUUCUUACCAAACAUAUUUAUGUUUUUCUCAUUUUUCAGAUUAUUUUUUAAAAUGAUACGGAACACAUUUUUAAAUUUUAAAAAUAAAUUUAAAAAUAGCAUUUUCAUUUUUAUUUUGUAAAAACAACAAUUAGAAAACAAUAUUGGGCUAUUAUUUAUCAUGUUUCAACAUAAAAACACAGUGUAAAUUGUUUAAUAUGGGUUUCUAGAGAAUUUUUUAUGUUACUAUUACUCAAAUUCAAUGCUUCCAAGCUUUUGAAUUUAGCUAAUCUUGCAUCAAGAAUUAAUGAACAUAAGAAAAAAAACAUUUCAUUCAGAACUAUAAAUAUUGAAAUAAAGAUAAAUAUCAUUGUUGAUUUUUUUAUAAAAAUGAUUUAGAAUUAAGAGAGAGUGAGAGAAAUGAGCGGGUUAUUUCGGAAAUUGGUGAUAGAGUAUAUCAAGUACUAAACUUUGUAUAGAAAGCAGUGCUUCUAAUUUAAAUUUGAUCUAGUUUAAAGCAAUUAAAAAAUGGAAAUAUAUUAUCAUCUUGAUUAACAUCUAAAACAAUUUUUGUCAUUGGAGGAAGUGAAUUGUUAUAUACCUUGAAUUGUAGUUAUCCCACAAGAGCCAAGAUCCAAUGUUUUCAAGUUUGGCAAAUCUGCGAAUCCUACAUGCGCCGAUAAAAAAUGAAAAUAUUACAUUUAAAGGCAUUGUAUGUGAUCCGCGCGUUUGAUGAACAUUAAUUCUACAUUUAAUUUGCUUCUUAUCUCAGAUUCAGUGGCCUACCUAGCAUUGUCAGAUUUUGAUUAUCGCUUAAAUCCAACACUUGUAGGUUUGUCAAAUUUGCUAAUCCUGUUAAAAAAGGUAAAUUUUGUCAAUAACAGUUAUGUCACUCUCGUCUAAAUUGUUUAAUUAAAAUAAUAUGGUAAAUAUUGAAUGAAAAUUAACUGUGCACAUUGUUAUUUUUUUGUUUAUAUUGAUAUUUUAAUAUAUACCGUCACUUUUAGCAUUACCAAGAUUUGGAGUGUUUGAAUCAUAAUUUGUAAAUUAGUUAGCACUUUGAGUAAACUUGAAAAUGUGAAAAAAGAAAUUAAAAAAUGCAAAUAUAUUAUCAUCUUGAUUAACAUCUAAAACAAUUUUUGUCAUUGGAGGAAGUGAAUUGUUAUAUACCUUGAAUUGUAGUUAUCCCACAAUAACCAAGAUCCAAUGUUUUCAAGUUUGGCAAAUCUACGAAUCCUACAUGCGCGGUAAAUUUUGUCAAUAACAGUUAUGUCACUCUCGUCUAAAUUGUUUAAUUAAAAUAAUAUGGUAAAUAUUGAAUGAAAAUUAACUGUGCACAUUGUUAUUUUUUUGUUUAUAUUGAUAUUUUAAUAUAUACCGUCACUUUUAGCAUUACCAAGAUUUGGAGUGUUUGAAUCAUAAUUUGUAAAUUAGUUAGCACUUUGAGUAAACUUGAAAAUGUGAAAAAAGAAAUUAAAAAAUGCAAAUAUAUUAUCAUCUUGAUUAACAUCUAAAACAAUUUUUAUCAUUGGAGGAAGUGAAUUGUUAUAUACCUUGAAUUGUAGUUAUCCCACAAGAACCAAGAUCCAAUGUUUUCAAGUUUGGCAAAUCUGCGAAUCCUACAUGUGCCGAUAAAAAUGAAAAUAUUACAUUUAAAGGCAUUGUAUGUGAUCCGCGUGUUUGAUGAACAUUAAUUCUACAUUUAAUUUGCUUCUUAUCUCAGAUUCAGUGGCCUACCUAGCAUUGUCAGAUUUUGAUUAUCGCUUAAAUCCAACACUUGUAGGUUUGUCAAAUUUGCUAAUCCUGUUAAAAAAAGGUAAAUUUGUAGUUAUGUCACUCUUGUCUAAAUUGUUUAAUUAAAAUAAUAUGAUAAAUAUUGAAUGAAAAUUAACUGAGCAAAUUGUUUAAUUAAAAAAAUUACCUUCUAAAGAACUGUGUAUAUAAUAAUUAGAACUCAAAUCCAACGCUUCCAAGUUUUUUAAUUUUGCUAAUCUAGCGCCAAGAAAGAAGAAAAAUCUUAGUAAUCAUCUUUGGGAAAAAAAUAAAGAAUUAAGAAAUUAGAUUAAAUAAUUGUAGUAAUAAAGCUUAUGAUUCAGAUCUAAUUAAAUUGAUCAUAUACUCAAAAAUGAUUUUAUUUNNNNNNNNNNNNNNNNNNNNNNNNNNNNNNNNNNNNNNNNNNNNNNNNNNNNNNNNNNNNNNNNNNNNNNNNAUUAAGAAACAAAUUUCAAAGUUAGAUUAAAUAAUUGUAGUAAUAAAGCUUAUGAUUAAGAUCUAAUUAAAUUGAUCAUAUACUCAAAAAUGAUUUUAUUUAUUUAUUUAUUUUUUUAAAUUUUACUAAGACAUUAGAAAGUAAAUUUUGCCGUGUACAUAUUGUAGUCAAGUUUAUCAAGUUUUCCAGUCAAAAAUUGGUUUUAAUUUGACAUUAUACAUAUGUAAAAAUUAAGAGCAUAAUAAUAUCACAAGGAAUUUGGGUAGUGACUUGUUGCCGUGUACCUUGAAUUGUAGUUAUUCCACAACUACCAAGAUCCAAUUUUUUCAGGUUUGUCAAAUUUGCCAAUCCUACACCAACGAAAAGCAAAAUAUUACUUUUAAAAUUAUUGUAGAAGGUUGUGAUUAGUGUGCUAACUUGGUAAUUAUCUCAGUAGCCUACCUAGCCUUGUUAAAGAGCCACUAGUUAUAUUGAAGUUCAAGCUUAGAUCCGACACUUGCAAGUAUCUCAAAUUUACUAAUCUUGCUCAGAAAACAUUAAUUUUGAUCAAGACAAUAUAAAUAUAUAUUUUAAUUAAGAAAUUAAUUAAGUUGCCUGACAUGUAUAUCUGCUGGCCUGAAACGUAUAUGUAUACCUUGCUUGGUUCUGGAACCUUCAAUCUUAUUGUAACUAAGAUUCAGAGUGGUAAGUGAAGUUAGUGUAUUCAAAUAUGGUAAUAUGCUGUCGUUGACGUAAUUAAAACCAAGAUUUAACAUCUUCAGCUGCUUCAAACUCCCAAAGCUAUCGUAAGCUGCAAAUGCAUAUGAAGUGUUAUUAUUAAUUAGUCACUGACAAAAUAUUUAUGGAUGCGAAAUAAAUGUAUACAUAUAUACGGACCUCUAUUCUCAUAGAUGCCUGUAAACCAAUUCUCGGAUAAGUCAAGGCUUUGCAAUUCUUCAAAAGGAUGAAACAAUGACAUAUUCAUAAACGAAGCCGAAGUUCUAUCAUAAUAUUUCAAUCUCCUUGUAUAAUUGAGUGAGAGUUGCAUCACGCGUCUUGUGGUGGCGUUGCACAUAACUCCCUCCCAAGCAUCACAACAAUCAGACGGCAUGCCAUCAUCCUCACCAACCCAUGAAGGAAGAAUUUUGUCAUCAUAGCCAACAUCACUGACUGAUAUGAAGAAGCUCUUGAUUGCCAACAGAGCAGUCCUCUCUGUUUCCAAGCAUGCUUUGUAUCCCUGCAUUUCAUUCAUCAAUACAAUAAUCCAAAUUAGUGACAUUAAUGAGAACUUAAUACAGGAAGUAGUUUCCAUUGCUGAGCAACUUUUCAUUUGGUUAAAAUUAAAUGUGCAAUGAGCAACUUUCCAUUGCAGAGCAAUUUAUACUAAAAGUUUAUCGCAGGUCUUGCAAUUUGAUUGGCUGAAGACUUUUUUAAGACUUUCCAAUACAUCGCCAUCUUUGAAGACUUGUAAGCAUUCCAUGUUUUGCAACAUUCGACCAAUUUUGUCAUCAUAUCCAACAUCACUGAUAAAGUGAUUGAAAUGACAAAACACAUAAAUGUUAUUUGAAGCUCAUGCAUUCGGAUAAGGAAAGUUUCCAUUGCUCCAGUCUACACUCUUCACUACUAUUACAAUCACUUGAAAUGACAAAAAUAGAAAUUUCGUAUGAACUUGGGACCGAUGUACGGGUGCAAUUUAAAUGACCCUAGCUAAUUUUGCAUAUAUUAUUGCAACUACGUGGAAAAUUAAAGUUGACUGACUUUCAAAUUAAGCCAACAAACAAGUGGCUAUCAACUCUUUUCCCUCUAUGAUUGUUUUUUUUUUUUUUUUUUAAAUUGAAUUGUAUGAUUGGGUUUGCAUUGAAUUAUCCAACAAUCUAUUCAAGCAUUGAUAUUUGAUAUUCUCAAAUAUUUAAUGGGUUUUGAAAAUUAUUUACUAGAUUUUUGAUAAAUUGAUUUUUAUUAUUUCAUGAUCAAUAAUUAAUCAAGUAAUUUUCUAUAUAUAUAUAUUUGGUAAUUUACUCAUAAAAAGUGUGGAUCACAUUGAAAUGUUAUUUUAUAUGAUGCAUGACAUACGGAGAGGUGCAGUUUAAAUGCGCAAAUAAUUUAUUAAUUAUAACAUGCAAUCAUUGAGUUAAAGCGCAAGCGUGAGUUUGGAUUUGAAAUAUUCAAAUAAUUUAUUUCAUUAUUGAUUCUUAAAUAACAUGCUUUGGAAUUAAUAGUUCGAUAGGAUGUUUGAUAUAUUAAAAUUUGUGAUAAUCAAUAAUCAACUAAUUUUCAUUCAUAUUUAAAGAUUUUAAUAAAUUACUCAUAAAAUUGUGGCGUAUAUUGAAAUGACAAUCAAUCUUGAUAUUGACUGACAAUCAAUUUUUAUAGUGAUUGGCACUUAAGACAAUCAGUUUUGGUCUCCGUAAUGACUAAUGAAGAAUUGUAAGCCUGAAAUUCCACAUGUUGCAAUGUUGGACCAAUGAGGGAAAUGCUUCAUUAACAUUACAUGGAAAAUAAAUGUUGACUGACUUUCAAAUUAGACCAACAUACAAGUAGUCGUCAAUUCUAUUUUUUCCAACAGUUGAUAAAGAUGGCUAGUUAAGAAAAAAAAAGUUGAUUGAGAUAAUUUAAAGAAUUUAAGCGUAAGUUUGGGUUUGAAAUUAUCAAAUAAUUUAUUCCAGCAUUGAUUCUUAAAUAAUGUACUUUGGAAUUAAUAACUCGAUAGGAUGUUUGACAUAUUGAAAUUUGUGAAAAUCAAUAAUCAAUUAUUUUUCAUACAUGUUUAGACAUUUUAAUAAAUUACUCAUAAAUUUGUGGUGUACACCGAAAUAAUAAGUUAUUAUAAAUUUGUGGUGUACUCUUGAGUCCCUUUGUAUCCUUGCAUUAAUUUGAAUCAAAGCUCGAAUUAAAAUCAAAGACCCAUAUUGAGAAUUUAUAUAAAUAACUUAAGAGUAUGAUUGGGUUUACAUUGACUUAUAUAUAUCAAACAAUAUAUUCAAGGGCUGAUAUUCUCAAAAAAAAGAAAAAAAAAAAGACAAUCAAUCUUUGCGUCAACUGAUAUUAUUGAUUGGUAAUAAAUCUUAGUAGUGAUUGACAAAGCUUGGGAAAAUCACUCUCGGUGAUUAAUAGUCUUCGUCCUCAUCUUUGUUUUGAUCGUUGUGAUAGAGGAUGAGUGGUGCGUAAGAGAGGGUUCAUCGCUUGCGGAAUUUUCGCGGCCAUUCAAGAAUCAGGAUGGUUGUUGUAGAAUUCCACGAGAAUUGGCCGUGCAAUUAGGGAAAGUUCAAUAUUAAUUUAUACUAAAAGUUUAUCAUAGGCCAAUCACGGUGACCACCAAAACCUAUGAAUGAUUAGUCCAUCGAAACCCAAUGUAUGCUCAAUUAAUAUUUCCUAUCAAGAUCAAAAUUUUCACUCUAUUGCUUCACCAAUCAUGCGCAUAAAAGCUCGAUUUAUACAAAACUUACGAAUUUAUGAAAAAAAAAGUCACAAUUAUUAUAAUUGGAAGUUUGAUUGAUUUUUAAAGAUUGAUUCAAUCAAUCUUAAUGUUACUGGACAAUCGAUCUUAAUAUUAAUUCAAAAUCAAUCUUUAUAGCAAUUGACACAGAUAAAGAUAAUUAGUUUUGGUCUCUAUAAUGAUUGACGAAGACUUGUAGGACCUGCACCAAUGAGGAAAAAUGCUUCAUUAAUACUCCAUGGAAAAUAAAUGGUGACUGACUUUCAUAUAAUCGAUUGACGUAUAAUUAUAAUUAUAUAAUCAAACACGCACACUACAAGGCGACCUUCGAUUGACGUAUUCUGUCAACUAACCCAUGGGACAUGGAGUGCUAAAACCAUAAUGUACGCCAGUAUGAAUAAUAUCAUCAAUCAAACCAAAAAAAAAAAAAAUUGAUGAAUAAUAUAGUUCCAAGCAGUGCUAAAACCAUAAUGUACGCCAAUAUGAGUUUAUCCAAAGUCACCGGCUACACCAAUAUCAUAGUGACAUAGGAAGCGAUGAGGAAAUUUACGAAAGAUUUAUUAAAUGAUCAGAGACUUUCUGCAAUUUCAUUGACUUAUUCUACGAUAAUUAUAAUCAAACACGCACACUGCAAGGCGACCUUCGAUUGACGUACUCUGUCAACUAACCCAGGGACAUGGAGGAUGUGUGUUGACGUUAACCAAUAGCCAAGUUUAUAAACACAAUCAAGCAAUCGUAUCAUCAAUCAGAGCCACAUUCGACGCAUGACUAGUAAAUAUCAUAAUUGAGUUUGAGGACCACAGCCGCACGGUGAAAGAAUUUGAAUGGAGGAAAAGCAAAGGAAAAUGAAAAGGAAAAGAGGGGAAUGCUAAAGAAAAAUAAGCUGAUUCAUCAGUAACUCCAUAUGACAUUUUUUUUUUAAAAUAAGCAUACCGUGGGGGGUUAGGCGGGACCCCUACCUGUCAUUUAUAAAAGAUAAUGAAAGAUACAAGGAGGGGGACAAAAACCAAAACCUCCAAUCAAGAGAAAAAAAUACAACAGAAAAAUAAAAGAUUAAGGCAUAGCCUAACAUGAGAAUCAUAAUAAAAUGACUAAUGAAGACGGUGAUAAUAUGUCUUACGAUACUUACGGCCGGUAAGUAAUUUAAAUCCCUUUUUCGAUUGACCAACAAUGCUAAAAUCGGGACUUAAGUCUAUUCUCUCAGAAUUCUCAGGAGCAGAUAAAAAGUGUUCGUUAUUCGCCAGGUGCUCGUCAGAACUAUCAUCAUUAUCAGUAUGAGAAUUGUAAUGCCUAAAAUCUGUGCUGGAUGCUCGAUGAAGAUGUGGAUUAUACUCACCAAUGCUCCGCAGGGGAGACAAGCUUUGAUCACGAGGUUCCUUAGAAUCAUGAGUUGUGUCAUCUUGGGCAAUCGGCUCCUGAACGGAUGUAGAAUUUGUAACGUUAGGCCGGUUCUCCGAAGGUUUAGUGAUCGGGGACCCCGCGUCUACAAUCUGCUUAGUGAUGGAAAGCUCAGGUCGAGGAGUAUCUGAGGGUUGUGGAGUAUCUGACGGUAGAACUUCUGACUUCUUACCAUCUUCUACUCUGGUCUGCCGAUUCCCACUGGGUCGCUGGGGACGAAGCCUCGGAUUGGCCACGUAACACGUCUCAAUGGUAUGGCCAAGGUGCUUGCAGGAAGCACAAUAGAGUGGGAUUUUCUCAAAAAUUACAUUUUGCCAAAAUCCAGAAUCUCCCACCCCGAUUCGUAUCCUUGGCAAAGGAGGUUGGGUAACAACAUACUCCACUAAUACCCUAGCUACAGAAGGGCGAGCUAAAGAGGCAGUAGCUUGGUCAAUUCGCAAUGGCUUGCUAAUAGCUGAUGCAAUAGAAAAUAAUGCUUCCUUACAGUGCAUGAAGUGGACAGGCAAGUAAGGAAAUGAGAUCCAUACUGGAACUAUAGGGGACUCCUCAGAGCACCGAAAAUCGGUGGUCCAUUUAAAAAUUCUCAUGGCACUCCCAUUAAUGUGCCAUGUCUGCCUAACCCAUAGGCGGGAAUAGUCAUCCUCAACGUCCAAUUGAAUUAACACAUGUCGAUUAUCUAGUAAAGACACCUUAAAAGUUCCCUUCAAUCUCAAAGAAGUAAAAAAUUUACGAAUUAAUUCCAUACUAGUCUAUUAUAAGAAAAUUUACCAACCAAUGUCAACUUGAAGGGAAUGGCCAUCGCUUCAAUUUCCGCAACGGAGAAUUGCACGUUAGGCUCUCCCCCGAAAGAAGUAACGGUCUUGAUUGGAACCAUCGAGCUAGUUGGGCCGAUCAUAAUAUCCAUAAACGAACUUUUAUUGGUUCUCUUUUGAUUCGAAUUGGGGACGGAAUUCAAAAUUGAGGCAUAAGAUGGUGCGGAUGUGGGCGGUGUAGCAUUUUGAGUCAACGGGGUAAAUUGGGGAUUAUUAGAAAUGAGUGUUGAGGGCAUUCGGGAGGGCUGGUUGUUGGGGUCAGAAAUGGAUUGGGCUUGGGAUUGAUUAGUGGGAAAUGCUAAUGGGACAGGGGGAAGGCUAGUGGGAAACACACAUGGGGGACACAAAUCAUGCGCGGCCGAAAGUGGUUCAUGUGCAUGUGGAGCAACAAGCUGCUGCACGCGUGAAGACUUUUGGGCUGGGAUGUUUGCUCAUGGCUGCUGCACGCGUGGAGACUUUUGGGCUGGGAUGUUUUCUGAUCUUGACUGGAUUCGGUGGUGUUUGCUUGCAUGGGGAGCUGACAAUCGCCGGUCAGCAGCUGCAGCUGGCUGUGAACACUGUUCCGAGUGCGUGUGUGUGAGACUUUUUGGCUCGUGGGGGUUGUUUGUGUAGGAUAUGGUUGUGGCUGACUGGAUUUAACCACGGUGGUUGCAUCUUGAAGAGGUUCUUGAUUAAAUUGGCCAUGAAGCACGGGCUGGUUUUGAGAAUGCAUAGGGGCUGUAACAGCUGGCUGAUCGUCUCCCGAGUGAUCAUGUAUGGCUUGUGUUGGCUGCGGACUAGAUGCUGGAAGCUGGUUUGUGUUAGCUUGUGAAGGCUUGGUUCGAUUUGAAGGUGAUGAUGGCUCGACGGUUGGAAGGUGGUCAUGGCUAGUUAAGGUUGGAGUUUGCUGUUGAAGGGAUGACGAUGGCGAUGGUGGUUGAUUGGCUGUGUUUACGGAAGUUGGUGGCUGUUGGGGUUGGAUGGCUGGCGAUUGGCUUUUAUAUUUUGAACGAGUUUUCCUUUGAGAUCUCCUAAGAAAAGGAAAUUCGUUUUUGGAAGUGAGGGGGAGAAUCGGUGGAGGCUGGCUGCCAUUACCAUCAGCCGGUAAGUUCAUGAUAGCCGGCUCGUGAAGGGAUGGUUGAUUUGCUGCAUCAUGGCAGCCUUCAUGAGACGUUUCUUCUUGUUCACUUACGACAACAGAGGUGGGUAAGGGCUGCCGAAAUUUCGAGAGGAUAGAGGCAGUGGAUGUCGGUGGUUGAUCAGCAUGAUGGUGGAUUGGAGAUGGAGGGUCUGCAUGGGAGUGGUUUGGAGAGAAAUGAUUUGGUUGUGUGGAUGGAUUGAGGUCAUUUUGCCGCUGGAGUGAUUUGAUUCGCGGUGGUGACAGUUGGACGUCAGGCGGUGGAUCAUUGGUGAAUUUUGGGGGUCGUCUAAAUGAUUUCUUAGGAGGGAUCAAACUCCUAAUAAUUCGUUCUUCGGCGGAGAGGGUGUUGACCGGUGAUGACUGGUUGCCAUCACCGGAGGCCGGAGAGGCCAUUAAGGCCGUUUAAGGCUUAGGGGGGGGGCUUGAUAGAUAGUCUUCAAACCAUUUGUUCCGGUCACUUAUUUUUCUAAACAAACCAAUUCACCCAGUUUCCCCUCCAUGACUACUUUUAGCCUCCGUGUGAUUCAAAAUAAUUAACACAGACGUCCUGCGUGUCACAUGUAACGAGCUAAUUCUGUUAAGGCCUUCACUCCAUAGUCUUAAGAUCUCAGUGAACAAUAAAUUCUUCAGAUUCAAAUGGCAAAUGAAUUGCACAACAAGGCAUAAACCCCGCUUGAAGGCAACCCGCUAUAAUUAAUACAUAAAAAGUUCAAUUGCUCAUAAAAGAAAGAUACAGUAAACUAGUGGUAUUGUAGUAUAAACAAUACUGGUUUUUCUAUCUUGGUGGUUUCUUGAUAGUGUUCAAAUAUCAGUCCUCGAAGAAAGAUAGAGGAAAGCUAAAGAAAAAUAAGCUAAUUCAUUAUUGACAUAAUGUGACAAUUGCACGCAACUCUUGGAUGUUUUUAGCCACCGAAAUUUUUAACAUUAAUGAUGAAUUACAAAUAUGUGAAUGAAAACUUAGAAACAAAUUUUUGCUGUGAAAGAAAGUAAAAGAGAGCAGAGAAACAAAAAACAGAGGAUUUCAUUCGUCAUUCAUAACUGAUUUUCCUAGUGCAAAUGCGCAAGGUUGAACAUUCAAAAUCCAUAAUUCUAAAUCAAAAUCACCAACAGACACCUGUACAUGAAAUAUUCAGGCCUUCACUCUGGCCUUAAGACCUCAUGUACGAGAAGUUCGUCAGAUUCAUAUAGCAAAUGAAUUGCACAAGAAGGCAUAAAAAUUAGUAUAUUUUUCAAGAACCGAGCUUGAAAGCAAUGAAAUAAAAAUUAAUACAUAAAAGUUCAAUUACACAUAAAAGAAGGAUAACGGUAAACCAUGGCCAGGCAAGAUCACGGAUGAAAUAUACAAAUUUCACAAGCCAAUAUAAACAACAAUCAGUGCAUGCAUCAAUGAAAGAAAACCGUGGCCACUGCCAAUACGAGUUCAACCAAAGGAUUCAUCUUAAUUGCAGAUUCAUCUUCGUCUUCUCCUCGAUUGGAUGUUAUUGCUAGAUUUUCCUCUGUUCUGGUGCAACUCUUAUUAAUUGUUGGACCACAACGACCCAGAUUAUAACUCUUUUCAUCAAACCUGCCAAAUUGUUUUUUGUCUGGGAUCAGACCAGACAAGUUCUUGUAUGACUCGUUAAAGUUGGAUAAAUAGUUGAUGAGUGAUCUGAAGAUCACCGAUCAGAAAAUUUUUCAUUUAUGUUUGUGUAAAUUAUUCAUAGUAUGGUCUACUAUGAAAUUACAAAAAUAAGCAUAGUAAAUUUGAAUAAAGGAAAGGAAAAUGAGAAGGAAAACAGAGGAAGGCUAAGGACAAAUAAGCUGAUUCAUCAGUAACUCAAGAUCACAACUUUUGGAUGUUUUUAGCCUCCGAAAUUUCAACAAAUAUUCAAGUGAUGUGAGGUUGGUCAAGGUAGAAGGAAAGUUUCCACUUAAUUGAAACUUUGAGCUUAGAUCCAACUCAAAAGGAUUCUUCAAAUUACAUAGUCCUGAACUUGAAAAUAAAAGAUCAAAAUUUUAUAGAAUGAAAACUAAUUAUAGCGAAUUCGAUCAAAAUCCAGUACAAGACUUAGAGAACAGACAAAAAUCAAAUUGCCUAAUUAUUUUGGUCAGCACAAAUAAUAAUAGAGUAAUGUGAACUUAUUUCUCAUAUAAUAUGAUGUUGAUUGCAAAAACGUUUCAAUAAUCUGGAAAAAGGGAAAAAAAAUAAAAUGCCCUCAGCACUUUUUGCUCAUCAUAGCCCGAAGUCCUUCUUGUUUAACAUUAUGAUUUUCUGAGGAAGAAUUUGUUCACUUGAUGUUGUUCAUUGGACAAUGGUUCUGUAACCUCUAAACCUAUUGGAUAAUGUAAAGAGAAAUUCAUAAUAUUUUAGUUGUCUUCUUAAAUAAUAAAUUGUCUCAAAAUACAAUUAAUUUGUCUUAAAUUUAAUUUAUUCCUCAGCAUUCAAAGAAAAACAAAAACAAAAAAAGAAAAAGAAAAACGACCUGGUCUUUAUAUGUAAUUUUGUCCAAGUACUUUGAUCAACAAAUCAUUAGGAAGGUGGUGUAUCAGUGAUGCAAAUAUUUAAUUAUCAUGUUUCAACAUAACAAUUCUGUGUAAAUUGUUCACUUUAUGUUUCUAGAGAACUGUUUAUAUUAUUAUUACUACUCAAAUUCAAUGCUUCCAAGUAUUUGAAUUUAAUUAGCUAAUCCUGUAUCAAGAAUUAAUUAAUGAACAUAAGAUAAAUGUCAUAUUAGUUAGAUUUAGAUUUUUUUUUUCCAGUUUUGAUGUAUAGAUAAAAAUAAUACUUCAAAAGCAUUGAAAUGUAAGAGCUAUUAAAAAAAUGCUUUUCAUUCAAAGCUAUAAGUAAUGAAAUGAAGAUAGAUAUCAUUGUUGAUUUAAAAAAAAUCAGAAAAAAAAAAAGAAAAGAGUGAAAGAAAAGAGCAGGUUAUGUUAGAAAAUAGUGAUAGAGUAUGUUAAGGACUAAAAUUUAUUAAAGAAAGCAGUGGUUCCAUUUGAAAUUUGAUCAAGUUAGAAUUAGUCAAUUAUGCAUCGAGAAUCAAAAGAAUGAAGAAAGGGAAUUCAAAUUAGACUUACAAAAUUAUAAUAAAGUGAUUAGUUAAGAUCCAAUUAAGCAGAUUUACUAAAAAAAAUAUUGAAAAAUAAAGGGCCAUAACAUUGCCAAAAGGACUAGGAAACUAAGUAGGAAGGGCUGAUUGUUGCGGAAUACCUUGAAGUGUAGGUUAUUCCACAACCACGAAGACCAAUUGCUUUCAAGUUUGUCAAAUAUGCCAAUCCUACAACAAUAUAAAGCAAAAUGUUACUAUAAAAUUAUUGUAGAAGAUUGGUAUUUUCAGUAGCUUACCUAGCCUUCUUAAAGCGCCACUUGUUAGAUUUUCAGGUUAGAUCCAACACUUGCAAGUUUCUCAAAUCUGCUAAUCCUACUCAGUAAACAUUAAUUUUGAUCAAAUCAAUAUCCUUGAUUGAAUAUAAAAUUUAUGAUUAAACCAAUAAAAUUUAUUCUACUUGAUUUUUGUACAAUUUUUUUUUCACUUGAUCAGCUGUUUUAUUCCCUUAAAAUAAAUGAAUUAAAAAAAUGUUAAUUGUUUUACGAGUUAAUAAUUUUAUAUUUAUUUAUUUAUUUAUUUUACCUUCUAUUUAUUAGUCUUUUGAAUAAUUUAUAAGAUUUAACAAUUGUAUUAGAUGUAAUAUUUUUAAAAAAAAAACUAUUAGCAUUUAUUAUUUAAUAAAUCUAUUUAGAUAUUUUUAAAAUUUGUUAUUGAUGAUAGAGUUUGGGUCAAUGGUCAACAAUUAAUAGUUACUAUGAUUUUUUUUUCCCUCCCUUUCUAAUUGAUAGAUUUCAUGUGUUCCGAAAACGAAGUUUAAGGAAAAAGAAAAGGAAAAGGAAAAGGAAAAAAAAAUGGCUGUGAGGCCACUUUCCCUGGGUCUUGGUUGCAAUGCGCGCAUGUACACAGGCUGAAGCCAGCAAGAUGGUAUCAUAAGUUAACAAUGAGAACCUUACUCUGAGAACAAGGUAUAAUUUGCUCACAUCAGUUAAAACAUAAGUUAGGUUGUGAUUUAUUGAUUGCACAUUCACCACAGGCACGUAUUGGGAGGAUAUUUAAGCCGAUCAUCAUCUCAGGUAAUCUUUCUUAGGAAUUGGAGAAAUGAAGCUAAAAGAGCACCAAUAAUUUCAAACAUAUAUACCUUGCUUGAUUCUGGAACCUUCAAUGUUAUUGGAACGAAGAUUCAGAGUGGUAAGUGAAGUUAGUGUAUGUUGAGUACAUAAAAGCACCAGGUCGGCCAUACUACUAUUUCCGCCCCAGCAAGGAUCACCUCAGCCAAAUGGUACGAGCAGAACCGGGGGCAACACGAGCCGAGCAGAGACGAAUACUGACCAGAGGCAUAUACCGAGCCGAUACCUGUCCCCCAAGAGGCGGGAACACGAUCUCACAAGAUCGCGGCAGUUGCGCUUUCCCAGAACCGUUGCAGGAGACGCGAGAUCCCACGUUUGCCCAUAAUGCAGCAGUUAGAGUCCCAUGAGGGGCUGCCACGACCCGAAAAAGGUGGGACGAAGGGCAAAAUGGAAACAUGGGGACAGUGGCUAUAAAAGAAGAAGAAAUCGACAAAGAAGGAGACAGAAAAAUUGAGGGAGGGAAAACGCUGCCAAAUUUCAACCAGGCCAUUUUCUUACAAAUCUCUAACAAACUUCUUGAAUCCAAAUUACAUUGUUUUCCCGUGAACACCUUGUGCUAACUUAAGCAUCGGAGGGUUUACGCCGGCAAAACCACCAGAAUCUGGUCGGUCCAAGGGCGAGCAGAUUUCAGCAUCAACAUUUUGGCGCCGUCUGUGGGGAGCUGGAUAAAAAGCUACCACCGAAUUAGUAGUUACCGGAGAAACAGCGAACGAUUAGACAUGGAUGUGCCAAGGAAGGACGCUUUGAGGGAGGAUAACGAAUCGGGGGAGACAAUCACCCUUCGGGAAAUUGCAAAUGAAGCCCGAGAGAGGGUGAUGUAAGAUCGGUUGGAACGAAUGGAGAAGCAAAUGGAGACUCUCGCUACCAUACUGAAUGAGCUGAGAGAUGAGCGGAGAAGGGAUUUCGAAAUCCCCGUGGGGAGAGAUGAUGUUGGAGCAGAACUCAACCUCCGGAGGUGUAGAAUCGAGGAAAUCCCUCCGCCGGCGGACCAACCUUAUGGGGUGCAUCCCCACAGAAGCACUGGUCGGGUUCCUGGAGAACAAGUAGUUGAAGGGAGGAACCAACCUCGCCCCAGGCUAGUACCGGAAGCUGAUGGCCGAGGGGCCAGUGCUGAUGAAGGAGAGUUAAGACAGCGGUUGCAGAAUGUCGAGCAGGAGCGAGAUCAGAUAGCUGCACGUGAUCCUGACCGUGCUGUAGAAUUGGAGGGAGAGGUGCGCAGAUUAGCCAGGAGUUGGCCGAGCAGUUCCGAGGGGCAGUGGCCCCAGAGGACGACAUGAUGGAACUGAUGGGGAUGAAACAGGAGGAGCAUGAAUCCCUUCGAGGAUUUGUAAAACGAUAUCACCGAGCCGUGCUGGAUCUGGGAGCUUUUAAUCACCCGCAGGCGUUGAGGGGAUUAAAAGAAGGUGUAAGAAUCGGUUGACUGUGGUAUAACUUAAGAAGCCCCCUUGUACAGAAUUACUCGUCGGGGUAUGAGCAGGCGAGGCGAGAUAUAGAAAUCGAAGAGGAGAAAUCGGCAAGAAUAAAAAGUGAACAGCUGGACGAGCUGAGGUGAAAGGAACGGAGAGCCCCGACAGGGAGCGGGUCGGGAAAGCGAACUGGAGAAUCUUCAGGGAUGGGCGGAAUAUCAGCUCGGUCCCGCCCUUACCCCAUAGCUCCGAGAGCACAACAGUUCCAACAUAGCCGGGCUCAACCUCCGCGCCCCCUGAUCCCAGAGCGGCAGCAAGAUUUCCGGCAGAUGGCUGCCCACCCCUAUCACAACACUCCCAGAGCAUUACAUGCAACCAAUUCCAGGGCUAGACGACCAGAUCAGUUAGAGACUGUGCCAGCCCGAGGUGACAUUCACGAUAGCCGAGCAGUUCAGCUGGUAGACCAGAGCUUGGCAUAUAGACAGUACACUCCAUUAAAGAUCUCCCUGGAGGAAUUGUAUGAGAGGAUCGAGGGACGAGGCCUGCUGUAUCCUCCAGCCCCAAUAACAAAACCGACUUACCGACGGGAUAAGAGCUGAUUCUGCAAAUUCCACGACACUCACGGUCACACUAUAAGCCAGUGUCGUGACCUGAAGAUUCAGGUGGAGGAUUUAGUGAGGAACCGAUACUUGGACGAGUAUGUAGAUGGAAUGUCCCCUGUCGUGGAAUCACAGUACACACGGGAUGAAGGAGUUGAGAGGGAUCUGGAACGUGAACAGCCGACCAUCCGUGUGAUAGCAGGAGGUCCAACAUUGGCCGGGGAUUCGAACAGAGCACGGAAGAACUAUGGGAGAUACGCCAUGACUGGCAAAGAGGUGCUUCUGAAUUUGCCAGCAGCCAAGAAGGCAAGAGUACGACAAGUUCCCAUUAUGUGGACGGAGGAUGACGAAGAGGGCAUUUUGUACCCUCAUGAGGAUGCACUGGUGAUUAAAGCAUUAGUGGCUAGCACAGAGUUGAGGCGAAUACUGGUGGACACGGGCAGCUCAGUCGAUAUUCUGUUUAAAUCGGCCCUAGAUGAUAUGGGGAUUUCAGACUUAAAGCUGGAGCGGACGAAUACAUCCUUGAAGGGAUUUGGAGGGGGACGAUUAACUCCCAUGGGGGUCAUUGAACUCCCGAUUACUGUGGGGACAAAGCCGUUUGAAAGAACGAUGAUGCUGGACUUUGUCGUAGUAGAGGAAAGAAGUCCUUACCAGAUGAUACUGGGGAGACCGUUCAUGAGGAUAAGCCAAUGCGUAAUGUCCACGCAUUAUCUGGCGCUGAAGUAUAGAAUAAAUGGAGUUGUGGGUGUAGUAAAAGGCGACCAGAGAAUGGCGAGGAGCUGCUAUGCUACAGCGGCCAAGGAAACGCUGCAGGUUACCUCUCUAGAUAGCCGAGGGGAUUCAAAAAAUAGUCGCCAGGAACCUGUUGAGAAGCUGGAGGAGGUUAUUGUAAGCAGGAGUGACCCUAGCAGGGUCACACGUUAUUACAACAAGAACGUACGUGUGAGGCAGUUCCGAGCAGGAGAUUGGGUGCUCAGGAAGGUGAACCAAAAUACCAAGGAUCCUAACCAUGGAGCUCUUAGUCCGAAAUGGGAAGGCCCGUACAGGGUGAUACGAGCAACUGGUCCGGGAGCUUAUAAGUUAGCGUACCGAGAUGGACGAGACGUGAAGAGGUCAUGGAACGCCGAGCAUUUGAAGAAGUAUUUCCAGUAAGCAAAAUACUCUACUAAAUCUUCAAUUUGAUAAGUUAUAUUGGUCAAAUGCAUGGUGGCUUGGUGCACAUGCAUAUGUUUUGUACUUUUGUAACGCAUUCAAAUUUCAAUAAAGAGGAAUUCAGCAUGAAAUCCCCCGGCUAAUAAGCCCAUCAAAAAUCUGCUAAGGCAAGUAAAUGCCUACUUCUGCUCGGUCAACGAAAGACCAGCAACUAAAUUUACGAAGAUUUUACCAAGGCAAGUAAGUGCCUACUUCUGCUCGGUCCACGGAGGACCAGCAGCUAAAUUGACGAAGAUUUUACCAAGGCAAGUAAGUGCCUACUUCUGCUAGGUCCACGGAGGACCAGCAGCUAAAUUUACGAAGAUUUUACCAAGGCAAGUAAGUGCCUACUUCUGCUAGGUCUGCCUACUUCUGCUCGGUCAACGAAAGACCAGCAACUAAAUUUACGAAGAUUUUACCAAGGCAAGUAAGUGCCUGCAUCUGCUAGGUCAACGAAGACCAGCAGCUAAUUUAUCAAAUGCUCCUAAGGCGAGAAAGUGCCUGCUUCUGCUCGGUCAACGAAGACCAGCAGCUAAUUUCUCGAAAGUUUCGCUAAGGCAAGUAAGUGCCUGCAUCUGCUCGGUCAACAAAGACCAGCAGCUAAUCCUACGAAAAUCCUACUAAGGCAAGUAAGUGCCUAGUCCGGCUCGGUCAAGGAAGACCAGCAACCAGUUUUGUCUGCUCGGUCAACGCAAGACCAGCAGCUAACUCUACAAGAAAUCUACUAAAGCAAAUGCCUACUUCGGCUCGGUCAACGAAGGACCAGCAGUUAAUCCUACGAAAGGCAAAACUAAGAUACAAUCUAUGAGCAAAAACCGGACAAGAAAGCAAAUAAAGAGCAUUUAAAAAUCUUUUUAUAAAUGUUCAAUUGUUUACAAAACAAAUGCAAAUCUAGAGUCUAUACAAAAAUAGGCUCAAAGCUUAGCAGAGUCAACGGCUCCAGCGGCUGAAGGAUCAGCGAGCCCGGGAAGUGAGGGAUCAGCAACAUCAGGAGGUGGGAGAUCAGCAAUACCGGGAGGAGGAGGCAUGGACCCUUGACCCAUUUCGAAAGUGCGUCCCCCAGCAUCCCCCUCUUCCACCCCACCCGAAGGAACCUCCACCCGAUCCUGCUCACCCUGCUCCUUAUCUCCCUGGCCGGCCCCAGCCAUAUAUCUCUCCACCCCAGCCUCCAGCUUGCUCAUGUCGAGCUCGGGGUAUUCUUCCGUGAGCACAGACAUGAUGCACUUAUAGCUGAAAGCAACCCCGGAGUCAUACUUGGCAUCCAGCCGAUCAUCCACAUCAGCGGAUUUGCCUUUCUCUUCAGCCAGUUGGUCACUCAGGGAUUUGAUCUCUCCCUCAAGGGCGGUCCUCAGAGUAUCUCUCUCACUUUGAGUAGCCUGAAGAUCGGACUUCAGAUCACCCAACUCGCCCUCAAGCUUGGAGGAAGUGGACUCAGCAACAGCAACUUUCUCCUCAAGCUCCGUAAGCUGCUUGUUCAGCUCGGCCAUUUUUUCCUUGGACCGAUCAGCAGAUUCGGCUUUCUUUUUCAACUCCUGGUUAUCAGCUUGAAGCUUCUUCUCAUGACGCGCGGACCUGGUCUUGUAGCACGAGACCAUUGUGGCCAGCCUGAAGGAGACUCUCUGAACAGAAGCAGCCAACUCGGAGAGGCUCAUGCUCUCGAUCUCCUUCACCAUCUUGGGCCCAACCGACUUUUUAUAAUCCUUCUGAUAUGGGCUCAGGUAGUCACCUUGAUCCCGAGAUGGAAGAGGAGAAGAUCGGUCCCCAGACUGCAAGCUGACCUCAGGACUCUUGUCGGAGGUUUUCUCCCCAACACUCUUACGAGGUGGAGGAGGGGGCAGAGCAGGAACAGGCGCCUUGGAAGGACCAACGCUAGGUUUCUUCGGAGGAGGAAGAGGGUUGCUGGAGCUACUCGGGGCCCGACCACGCUUCCUGCUCAUCGCACUGAGGAUCUUGUUAUCCAUUCCAGCGGCUAUGUCCACUAGCCCCGAGCCGACCAGGUUUGUUGGAGACAGGAGGUCUUGGCAGGUUUGCUGGACACCACUUUCCCCCAGCAAAGAAGAAUUUGUUCUUCCAAUUUUUGCACGAGGAGGGGAAACCGGUGAUUGGCUUUCUCUUCGCAGAACUGGACAUGAAGUAGUACCAGCCCGCCUCCCUUGGGCUGCUCCGCAGCUGAUACAGAUGUUUCACUUCAACAAGGGAAGGCUCCUCCGACCCGCACCUCUCCCACAACACAAACAUUACCAAGAGAACCCUCCACCCGUUCGGGUGUAGCUGACCUGGGGCCAGGUGCAUACCUCCUAAUAUCUUGGCAAAAUAACGUUGCAGGGGCAGCCGAGCUCCUAGUUUAGGCUAUGUAAUCAAUAGGGUAGGAAUCAGCCUCCACCCUAUGGCCAAGAUUCCUUUUCUUAGCAGGUCCACUCGGUCCAGAACUGCUCCCCUCACCAUCACCAACUCCUUCAGGGAUCCCAACCCCACCAAAGCUGUGGUUCUCACCAGAGCCCGAAGCAGUUCCACCUCUAUUCCCUACAAGCUCUGGUUCGGGGGAGGGAGAGACAACCAAGGGGCGUGGGUACUCAAGGGUACCCCUACCAUGGGAAGGACCUACACUACUGGAGGGACCUAAGAAAUCAGUGGGUAUUGACACAUUGAGGCCUGAAUCCCCUGAUUCUUCAUCACCCUCAUCAACAAUUAACUUUCUCUUUCGGUUUGACAUAUCGGAAUCUCAAAAAGAAAACAAAGAAAACUCGAAUAUACGGAUACACAAGGGGGCAACACGGAACCCAAUCAACAACAACCAGAGAAGAGAUUAAAAGCAGUACCUGAAAUGAACUGGCCUUGAUAGCGCUGCCGUGACCGAGAAAAAACCAGCAAGUAGAAGCCUCGGACGCAGGAAGUAUGAGUAAAGUGCAGAAAAUGGGGUAGGUUAACGACGGAGAGACGAGUAACAAAACGAUGACGAUGUGAGUCUAGGGAUUUGAAACGAAAAGGGGGAAAUGAAAGCAUUUAAGUGAUGGAGACGCACCGUACAUCGAGGACAGAUAGCCCGUCGUUUUAAAUUUCAAAUAUGAAGAGUCUGGAGAUGCCACAUCACUAACCGUUACAAGGGGCCAGGAUAGAUGUAAGCCCAGAUAUGCAAUGGACAUGCUCAUUUAGGCCCAUACUCAGGUCGAAAUCUCCCCAGAAGAAAAAUGGUACCUCAGAUCCGUCUCAGUAAACAGAAGACCAGAUGAGAGGCUCCCCGGGUUGGUGAGUUUUGACAAUCAGUUUCUACUCUUCACUCGUUUCACUCGCCAGACCAGAAACUGGGGGACUGGUGUUGAGUACAUAAAAGCACCAGGUCGGCCAUACUACUAUUUCCGCCCCAGCAAGGAUCACCUCAGCCAAAUGGUACGAGCAGAACCGGGGGCAACACGAGCCGAGCAGAGACGAAUACUGACCAGAGGCAUAUACCGAGCCGAUACCUGUCCCCCAAGAGGCGGGAACACGAUCUCACAAGAUCGCGGCAGUUGCGCUUUCCCAGAACCGUUGCAGGAGACGCGAGAUCCCACGUUUGCCCAUAAUGCAGCAGUUAGAGUCCCAUGAGGGGCUGCCACGACCCGAAAAAGGUGGGACGAAGGGCAAAACGGAAACAUGGGGACAGUGGCUAUAAAAGAAGAAGAAAUCGACAAAGAAGGGGACAGAAAAAUUGAGGGAGGGAAAACGCUGCCAAAUUUCAACCAGGCCAUUUUCUUACAAAUCUCUAACAAACUUCUUGAAUCCAAAUUACAUUGUUUUCCCGUGAACACCUUGUGCUAACUUAAGCAUCGGAGGGUUUACGCCGGCAAAACCACCGGCGUCUCUGAUCCGUUUUUGCUGAACGCAGGUCUGGUGAGAGAGGGAAGGGCGAUUCCAACCCCAGUGGUUCGAGUGACAGUUGAUAACACAAACGUUGGUGAUAGAAUCUGGUCGGUCCAAGGGCGAGCAGAUUUCAGCAUCAACAGUGUAUUCAAAUAUGGUAAUAUGCUGUCGUUGAGGAAAUUACCACCAAGAUUUAAGAUCUUCAGAUGUCUCAAACUCCCAAAGCUGUCGUAAGCUUCAAAUGCAUAUGAAUUACUAUCAUUAAUUAGUCACUGACAAAAUAAUUAUGAAUGAGUAAUAUAUACAUAUGCUUGUACCUUUAUUCUCAUAGAAGUCAAGGCACUGCAAUUCUUCGAAAGGGUGAAACAAUGACAUAUUCAGAAGAGAAACUUCAUAAGAAUAAAAGAGUUAUAAUCAGAGUAGUUGAUUUUUUUUUUCUGAUUGAGUGAGAGUUGCGUCACCCGUCGGGUGGUGGCGUUGCACUUAACUCUCUCCCAAUCGUUACAACAAUCAGACGACAUUCCAUCAUCAUCAAAUCAUGAAGAAAGAACUUCGUCAUCAUAUCCAACAUCACUGGCUGAUGCGAAGAAGCUCUUGAUUUCCAACAGAGCAAUCCUCUCUGUUUCCAAGCAUGCUUUGUAUCCAUGUAACUGAAUCAAAGCUAUGCCAAUCCACAAUGACAACUUCAUCAAAAGCAUUUUCAUUAUUAAUAGUAACUGCAAGAGAAACACUCACAAGAUUUACCUGUCAAUUGUUGCUCUCUUGAAUUUUUUCUGGUUCUCUAGCAAAUAUAUGACUUAUAUAUACAAUGGAAAUUUUGUGCAGAAUGAAAAUUUUGCGCAUUUUCACGUGCCCUGUCAAUGAGAAAACAUGCAUUGAUUGAAAAAAGUAAGUGAGAGAAUAUUACCUGUUGAUACAUGUUAUCUACUUGUGAAAUAAUUGAAGAUGCAAAAUGGUUGAUUUCACGGGCCUGGCCUUUGGCAAAGUGAAAUGUUAGCCACACACUUUUACCAGUCCAGUGUCAACAUUUGUAGCAUAAGGAAAUUGCGGCAUCUCAGCUGGAUUUUGAGGGUCGCUAUUUCGUAUAUCAGUCCCAUUAUUUGUUAGUGGGGACUCACACUCUGUCCUAUAAUGGGCUCACAAAUAUUUAACAUAAUUUUGAUAAUUACUUAAACCGCGUGUCCUUGAUAAUUAAAGAAAAAGAGAAGUGAAUGCAGUAAAAGAUACUGAUGGCCGUAAUUAUGCAAAUAAAUACAAGACUUUACAGUAGAUUAGACCACCAAUUGUGCUUUUUCGUCCAAUAAUAAUGCAUCUGCUUUAGCACGAUACGAGUGAACUUAGGCUUAUCUUUCUUUCGCAAUGUAAAUUCUUGCCAAAAAAUACAUGUUAUCUACUGGUGAAUUAGUUUGAUAAAAUAAAGGCUUAAAGUUUAGUUGAGUAAAAUGUUGGCGUAAAGAAAUUAGCUACUGGAAAAUCACCAAAUGCUUGUUAAGGUAAUAUACAAUUGCAAUUGAACAUCAAGUGAUGGAAACAUCAAAAACCCCAUAAAAAAAUUAAACAAAACCAGUUGCAAUGCAAAUAAACAAGUUUUCAGUUAAGAUGGCAGAACUAAUUCCUUCACAAUCAAGUGUGGUUUCUCAAUUUGUUCUAUUUGCCCAAAAAGACAUGGUCAAGUAUCUGAAAGCAUUUUUAUUUAGUUGACUAUUCGAGUUUGAAUUUGGAAUAAGAGGUUAAAAAAUAAGUUUUGUCUUUUCUCACCCCUUUUACCUUUAGAAAAAAAAUUUAAUUUUUGGUCAAGCUGACUUAAGUGCAUCAUGUGCAAAUCACGUGACAUCCUGAGCUACCAUGUAAUUUGGCUUUAUAAGUGUUUUCUGUUUCUGAAAACAAAAAAUAAUAAAAUGGAAAUGCCUUUAGCUUUUGGCUAGACAUUUUCAGAAACGUUUUUCGUGAACAGAAAAAGUUUUUGUAAAGAGGCAUUGAGCGGUCAGGCGCUUGUCGUGGCCUGCGGCCUGCAGUCCUCAACAAUCCUCAUCUGGCCUCUUUAUAAUCCACUUUUAAUAAAAUAUAGAUAAAAAUAGAAAUAUUACUGAUUUCUAGCACAUCAUUCAAAUUAGUUGCUAUUGUAUAUCUAGCUAGUUUUGAACAAAGUAAGUGAGAAUAUUACAUACAUCUGCUUUAGCAAGAUACGAGUGAAUUAAAACAUUUGACCAGAUGAAAGAGAGAAAAGAAUGUUGAAAUAUUGACUUGAAUAUUGUGGUAAAAUGAGUUUGACUUUAGUACCGACCAAAGAAAUAACUGAAGAUGCAAAUUAAUUGGUUAGUUUGAGGUGCAUGGCUAUUGGCAAAGUGAAAUGUUAGCUUUACACUUCACUUGUGAAUGUACAACAACAUUUGCUGCAUAAGGAAAUUGCGGCGUCUCAGCCGGAUUAUGAGAGUUGUUUUCAAAUCCCAUUUCUCUUCUUCGUAUUUGUUCAUUGCCACAACAUUUGAUGCAAAAUUUGAUGACUACUCAAACGCGUUUCCGCAAUAACUAACGAAAGAAAAAGCGAACGAAUAAGCAAGAGAUACUGAUGACAGUAAUCAUGUAAAUGAAUACAAGGCUUUACAAUAUGCUUUCUUUCACAUGUAAUCUGCUGGUGAAAUAAUUUUUAUAAAACAGAGGCUUAAAGUUAAAGCUGAUUAAAAUAUUGGCGUCGAGAACGCUACAUGGAAAAUUCAACCGUGAGCUGCAGUCUGCAGUCCCCAACAAUCCGGGAAAAGGUUGAGGAGGCGCGCCCCUGCACAUUAAUUUGGCAGGUCUGAUGGGAUUUAUAAAUUAAAAUAAUGUAAUUUUAUAUAUUUUUUAAAUGAAAAAUUCAUUGAUGCCGCUGUGCGAUCCAUUGGAUCCUCGCGUGUUGGCUCCACAAGAGUUUCUCCCUAACAAUCUCCAUCAAAGCUCUUUAUAAUCCAUUUUUGAUAAAAGGAUACAUAUAUUUAUUCAAAUAUUAGUAAAAAUAGAUACAAUGCUGAUUUUUAAAUUAUACUUAAAUUAUACUUAAUGAACAUUUAGACCGACCUGUAAAUCUAUGAAUUCAAACUUCCACAACACCAUCAAUUAUUUUUAGCCUGCAUGUUACAUAUAUUUAUUCAAUUAUUUUUAGCCUGCAUGUUUGAUUGUGCUUCUGUUCUAUAGCUUCGUUAUGUUCAUUGAUAUUUUGUUGUUGUGCAGUAGUACCCAGUGUUCUUGAUAUCGCAAUCAUCACCCCAUAUGAAUCACAAGUUGUUCUCAAGGUAUACAUUUAUACUUAUCAUUAAUACUUUUUUGUUUUGCCCUCACCAGCUAUGAUUAGCAUAUUAUUUUUUAAAACUUUAUAAAUAUAAAUGAAUUAUUAAUUAAUCAUCUUUUUUUUUUAAUUGAAAUUUGCUCAAAGGGCAUCUCCACUGACAAGAUACUUGAUGUGAAAAAAUUGUUGGCUUCCAAUGUAGAAACUUGCCACCUCACAAAUUAUUCUCUCUCUCACGAGGUAUAUAUAUUUUAUUAUCUCUCCCCUUUUUUUUUUAAAUUAUAUAGAUUAUGAAAUUUCAUUUUAAAUUAAUGAAAAUAAGUAAAAUGGCUAACUUAGGUUUUGUUGAAGGCUGUAAAUGGUAGAUCGGAUGUCGAUAAGGGAUGGAGCCGCUGCCGACGAGGGCUGAUGUUGCCACCGAUGAUGGGAGUUUCUUCGGUUUGGGAGAGAUGGGUGAAAGAGAGUGUUGGGGGAGAAAUGAGAGAGAGGGGUAUUUUGGUCUCAAAGGUUCUUUUAUGGCUAUUGUUGAUAGAAAUUUGUUUGGGGGGUUAAGAUGGAAAAAAUCAAAACUUUUAUGGUUAUUGGUGUAAAUUUCCCUAAUUUUCAACCAACCGUAAAUUUUAAUCUAUUAAAAAAAUUAGUUGGCAGACAUGUAAACAGAGCAAGAAGGUUUACAGAAGUGUAUUAUUUUAGAAUUAGUAACUUUUUCAUGAAUAAUUAAUAUGAUUAGAGUUUAACAAAAUUAUAUGUAAAGGCUUGUUUAAAGAGUGAAAAUUUUAUUUUUUUCUCAUUUUUUAGUGCUUAUAAUUAAAAUUUAAUCUAGAAGUAUUUUAAUUAUAAAAAAAUUAUUUUCAAAAAUAAGUUUGACGAAUAGUUUAGUGCUAAAAUAAUAAAAGAAAAUAAUAGUUUAGUGCUAUAAUUAUUUUCUACUUAUAAUUAAGUUAAUAUUUAAUAGAAAGAACUAAAAUAAUAAAAGAAAAAAGAAUUUGCCCGGCAAUUCCUUGUUAUUUACAUUUUUGGCACUGUCCUUCGCAGAGGAAUACACCGAGGAAUCUCAGGCCGUGGCACACGUGCGGCAGCUUCUCGACAUCGUCGUGUGCACCACAUGGUUCUCCAAGUCCAGAAACUCCCGAUUGCCGCCACCGUCAGAGUCAUGUGCCAAAAAGAACGGCAGUAGGCCCCACCCGCCUUCACCAAACUCUGCCGCUCUGUCUGAUGGAGCAGCAACAGCAGCAGCAGAUAACCGAAGCGGGCCCCGCGCCACGUCAUCGCCAGUUUCAUCGGCGGUUUCUCCGAGUCUGGACAUGGCGACCAUUCACCCGACGCCGAAACUCUCCGAGUUUUAUGACUUCUUCUCUUUCUCUCACCUCACUCCCCCCAUCUUAAGUAAGCCUAAUUUUCAUUUAUUUAUUUGUCUUCGUUUCUUACAUGGUUGAUCAAAAAAAAAAAAAAAAAAAGAAAGAGGAAAAUGAUAUAAAUAUAUGUGAUUUAUUUGAAUAUGAAAUUUGUUUAUUGAUUUUAAUUUUUAAUAAUUUUGAUUUUGAAGAUUUGAGAAAAUGUGAACGCAAAGAAGGAGAGAAGCGCGACGGUGAUUAUUUUGAAAUUCAGGUACCAUUUAAUAUAAAGUUCUGAUUAUUGUUGUUUGUUGUUUGGGUCGAUCAAAAAAAAAAAAAAAAAAGAGGAAAUGAUAUAAAUAUAUGUGAUUUAUUUGAAUAUGAAAUUUGUUUAUUGAUUUUAAUUUUUAAUAAUUUUGAUUUUGAAGAUUUGAGAAAAUGUGAACGCAAAGGAGAGAAGCGCGACGGUGAUUAUUUUGAAAUUCAGGUACCAUUUAAUAUAAAGUUCUGAUUAUUGUUGUUUGUUGUUUAUGGACUAAUUAAUUGUAGAGUUAUUCAACUUGUUAUUUUUGCUGAUGAAUUGGCCAAUGAGUGUUAAAGAUUUAAUAAUCAUUGUCCGCCAAUUAAUAAGAAUGCAUGAAUUAUUUUCAUGUCUUCGUAAGUAAUGUGAGUAUUUGAAAGCGUGGGAAACUGUAUUUUGUGCUCACAGAUAAAAAUCUGCAAUGGAAAGCUUAUACAAGUAGUUGCAUCAGUAACAGGGUUCUAUACUUUGGAGCCAAUUGCGCCCGGUACACCUCCAUACUUCAAAAAUUAUCUCAAUACCCUAAAAUCAGUUUUUGCCGAAAUUUUCAUUGAUACCCUUUAAAAACGGAUAGGAAAUUACUAAGCUAUCCUCAUUUUAAAACAUUUCAACUCAACGGACGGCACUUCUCCCUUCUCUACUGAAGCAAACAAACACUCAUCUGCUGCAAUUCCCUCCAUUAUCAAACUCAAACAAACAAACACUGCAAUUCCCUCACCGGCAUCACCUCUGCAAUUCCCUCACCGGCAUCACCUCUACAGAAACAAAUAUUCAUUCUCCAUACAUGGUAAAUCGAACUUCAACACGAGUAAACUAAGCUUGAGAAGGGGAAGCUGCCACAACUGAGAAAGAGAAGCCUAGUUCGUCGCUACAUAAUCGCCGGCGAGAGCGGAUCCUUUACUGUAAAAUAGUCAUAAUUUAACUAGUUGAGGUAAGUAAUUCUCUAUAAAUAGUUUUCUUGUUGAUAUUCAGGGGAAAAAACAACAAAAAGUUAGGGUUUAUAUAGAAAAAAUAGAUUAAUUAGUUGCGGGUCUCUCAUUACAUGUUCAAAAACAAAUUUUUAGUUGUUUUACUACAUGCAAAUUGUGAAAAAUUGAUGGAUUGUGCCGAUUAUAAUUUUGUCAUGUAACACACAAUUUGGUCGUGUAAGGUUAUGUAGGAUUCAAGGUUGUGUAUUACACGACCUUCAUGUAUUGCACUUACACGACCUUCAUGUAUUACACGACCUCAAAAUUACACGACUUUUUUCACUGUUGUUAAUUCAUUAUAAUAACUUAGUUGUUUAAAGACUUAAUUUUUGCUAAGAAUUUAUAUUUGUUGCUAUGCAGAAAAUGUCAACGAAAAGUAUUCAGGAAAAAAUGAAAUGUGGCAAACCGAAAGCUGAAAAUUACUAAUUUGUCAUCGUUAGAACCAAUAAGAAUAAUGUGAAGGUUCAUUUUGUUAUUAUUUUUAACUAAGUAUGUUAUUAUUUUUAACUACGUACAAAUUGUGUAAAGUUAUUAAUAUUUGCUGCUGUGCAGAUUCUGACAACAUUUGAUGAUAACCCGAGUAUUGCCACACUUGCGACUGUGUUUUCAACUAGCCUUUGAUUUAAGAGUUGUUUCUAAUUGAUUUCAUGGAUUUAUUAUAUGCAGGCAUUCCUCAUGUAUGCAUGUAUGCUUCGGCAGAGGAAGAAAGCAGUUUGAAGAUAAAAAAAAAAAAAAAACUUUUUAAAUGGUUGUAAUAUGUUUAAUUACGAUAUCCAUUAGUGUAUCAUAUCCAAAUAUUGACAUUGUAAACUGAUAACUUUGUUUAUUUAUAAUAAUUAAUCUCAUCAUUUCUCAAAUUGUCGAAUAUGCAAUUUUUUUUUUUUUUGCUGUAAUUUAUGAACACACGAUUUGAUCUACGUUCAAAAGUAAUGCAAAGCGGGUUUCUAAACUUCAUUCCACUAGCUACUUCCUCUAAGAAAAAUUCCACAUCAUCAUUGGUUUGAAUUGUAACUGGUGGCAUAGGAUCAGAUGUCUUAAGUUUGAACUUCAUUGUGAUUUCGAAUUCCGAAGUAUCUAUAUCAAUAACUUCAACUAUCUUCUCCAUCAAUUCGGCAUAUAUUGUCGAUCGUGGUAUCAUUAUCCCUUUAGCCUUGAAACCUUUGAACUUAUACUCGUCAUUUUGCUCAAUUCAUUCACCAUUGAAGAGAAUAGCUUCAUGUAUUGCACUUACACGACUUCAUGUAUUUCACGACGUUCAUGUAUUACACGACCUUCAUAUACUACACGACCUCAUGUAUUACACGACCUCAAAAUUACACGACUUUUUUUACUGUUGUUAAUUCAUUAUAAUAACUUAGUUGUUUAAAGACUUAAUUUUUGCUAAGAAUUUAUAUUUGUUGCUAUGCAGAAAAUGUCAACGAAAAGUAUUCAGGAAAAAAUGAAACGAGGCAAACCGAAAGUGAAAAUUACUAAUUUGUCAUCAUUGGAACCAAUAAGAAUAAUAAAAAAUAACCUUAGUGACGUACAAUUGGGGAUUUUUCGCAAAUCAUGUUUUGGGCACUUUUUGGACUUGAAUGAGUUUCAGUUUUGUGCCCAGUUGUUGCACAAGUUGGUAUUAAGGCAUAUGCAUUCAUCCGAUAAGGCAAUGUAUUUUAAGAUAGGGAAAAAAGUUUGUCGAUUUUCAAUGUUUGAAUUUGCAUUAGUUACUGGACUGAAUUGUGAAGAAAUUUAUAAACCUAACUUGGACAUUGUUGAUGACGGUGGUCGUGUAUGUGAUGUUUUGUUGGACGGUUGCACAAAGUUCACUAACACAACGCUAGGUCAGAUAUUUGAAGCAACUAAGUCCAAGGAUGAUAUGAAAAUGGUUAAAUUUGCCAUGUUGUACUUUUUGGAGGUUGUAUUACUUGGAAAAGAAUAUAGAUCAUCUAUAAUUAGGGAUCACAUUCUCCACAUUGACAACUUUGAAGAUUUCAAUAAAUAUCCUUGGGGCCGUGUCUGUUUUGAGAACACAUUAGAAAGUAUGAAGAAUGUGAUUGCAAUUAGACAGAAUAGAGAAAGGGCAAAUCCAGACUAUGUCCCUGAAAAGGAGGCAUACAGUCUUCAUGGCUGUCCAUUUGCAGUUCAGGUAACAAAUUGUCAAUAUUGGUUUCGUAGAGAUUAUUAAGAUUAGGAAUAUUAAUUAUUUCUUUUACUUGCACAGGUAUGGGCACUUGAAAUUUUCAGUGAAGUGUGUGAAACUUUUUCCUCGAAAUGUAAGCAUGUCAAAUAUCCAAGAAUUCUAAAUUGGACAAUCACUAAACAUGUUAGCUCUAAUUCGCUUGACUAUUCCAUAUUUGAUAAGAAAAAGGUAAUAACAAACAAUCUAGAUCGUUAGUGUCUUUCUUUUUUUCUUUUUAAUUUAUCUUUGACAUUUAUUAAUUGGCCUAAUUAUUACAGCUUAAGGUACUAGAGAAGUUGGAUGUCGCUGAUGAAAUAGAGGCAUCACAGCCUAAUCUACAAUGGUUUUGGCAAACAAAUUGGCUGCAACAACUUGAAAAUGAUUUUCUUGUUGACUCAAAGAGUAAAAAAUCAGCCACUCCAGUCUCAGAACAGAAAAGUAGCAGUGUUGUGCAGAAAAAUUCUGUGGCCAUGGAAGUUAAAGAGACUAAUAAACGUGCGAAGUGUCAAGUUAUGUCCAUGAAAUGCAAAACGAAUUAUGAACAUGCAAAUUCUGUUGAGGACAAAACUGUAAGUUUUUUUAAUCUUUUAAUAACAAUUUCAUUUUUCAAUUUUUUUUGUUUGCCUAAUAGGCUCUGUCUUGUUCUGCUUGUAAGGGUAAACGUCCUGGUUACAUUGAUAAUUUGAUUUCUUUUAUCGAGGACAAGUUUAAUUGUUUGGAUAAGCGUCUCAAAAAGAUCGAAGAGAAGGUGCAGAAAAUUGACUCAUUGGAGGAGAAUACAGGUGAUGUGAGGGAGAUGAGAGAACAAGUCAAUAAAAUUGUAGACUUAGUGGAGUUCCUAAAUUCAGCGGACUACAAUGUGAAGGUUCAUUUUAUUAUUAUUUUUAACUAAGUAUGUUAUUAUUUUUAUCUAAGUACAAAUUGUGUAAAGUUAUUAAUAUUGCUGCUGUGCAGAUUCCGACAACAUUUGAUGAUAACCCGAGUAUUGCCACACCUGCGACUGUGUUUCCAAGCUUCACCACAAAUGCAGGCAUAGUCAAAGAGGAUCCAAUAAUUAUUCCGUCUACACAGCAAGAGGUGAAAAAAUAUGAAAGAAAAAGGCGAUCUCGAAAGGAUGCAGCUGUUUUACGCACGCCAUCUACUAACCCAUUUCGAAAAUCGCGACAUGUCAACGUCGAUGAAGCAAAACAGCAAGUUCAGUUUGAGCAUUGGCUGAAGGAGGAUAAUAUGGAACCGUAAUUCCUUAUUUCUCUUUGUAAACUUACUUUUAUUUGAAACAAUAUUUCUUGGUUGACUAUAACAAGUAAUAAGUUUUACUCAUAUUUUCUUGGCAGAAGAUUUGGUUGGUCCCUGAAAGAUGAGUUUCAGCAUUUGAGAAAGAUUUCAAUUCUACGUGGGCUUUGCCAUAUAAGGUACUGUCUUUUCGGUUCCUUUGGCAGCCGAUUAUUUUCAAAGCUUGAAUUUUGCUUGUAAACUUCACCCAGGUUGGGUUGGUGUUGGUUCCCAGAGAUUAUGAUAUGGAAUGCCCAAACCCAUUCACGAGAGAUGAUAUUGUCAGCAUGGUUCCUGUGUGCAAGGUAAGACUAUUUUCUCUCUUAAUUGUGUUUUGAUUUAGUUUUUACAUUCUCAAUGAGUCACUCAUUUGUAAAUUGAAUGUAAUUGUGCUAUUUUUAUGGCAUUCUACAGCAUGUAGGUUGCACUUCAGCCGAUGGACGGACCUUAUUAGAGUCAUCCAAAAUUGCCCUUGAUAAAGGAAAACUAGAAGAUGCUGUAAAUUAUGGGACAAAGGUAAUAACCCACUCGAUCUAUACGUAAGAAUUACAUUAUUCUUUUCAUAAUAAGGCAUCUCUUGAUCUCAUAUGAUGUAUUACUUGCAUUGUAAGGCACUGGCAAGGAUGAUAGCUGUUUGUGGUCCCUACCGUCGGACUACUGCAAGUGCUUACAGUCUUCUAGCUGUAGUUCUCUACCAUACUGGAGACUUUAAUCAGGUAUGACAAUCUUCAAUUGUAUUUCAGUGUUAACUUGGUGAUUCUAAGUCUAGUAUAAUUAUAACGUCCUUCUGUACGGGGGUUCUCAUUCAUCGGGACAUUUGAUUUGAAUUUUUGUAUGUUAUGGUUAGUUUUUAUGGUCUUGUAUAAAGAUAUGCAUUAGGAAUUAUAAUUUUCUGGACUUAGGAAUUACAUGUACAGGCAUUAGCAUAAUUUUGAUAUCAGAUUAUAUAUUUUAACUAAAUCAAACACGUUCAUGAUUCUUAUGUUCCAGCAUUUCGUCUAAUGGCAUCUGCGUCUGAGUGUUAGAGUAGUGUUCGUAUGUACUCAAGAUAUCUUCUUCUUCAUUUUAGGCAACUAUAUAUCAUCAGAAGGCAUUGGAUAUUAAUGAGAGGGAACUUGGUCUUGACCACCCAGAUACAAUGAAAAGCUACGGGGAUCUUUCAAUUUUCUAUUAUCGCCUUCAACACAUUGAAUUGGCUCUUAAGUGAGUAGCACUACUUGAUUUACCGGAGCAACUUUGUUUUCAUUCUUUAACUGAUUAAGGUUUAUUUAUUCAUAAAUUAAAUUGGAAGUUUCGAAAAAUGUGACCUUUGCAUUGAAUCUGCUUCGAACGAAUGCAGUUUUUAUCUACCUACUUUAGCUUUUAUUUGUCUUUUAUUGGCUCUAGCUCCUGAUCAUACCGUACCAUUGGCAGAUAUGUAAAUCGUGCCUUAUUCCUUUUGCAUUUUACUUGUGGACUUUCACAUCCAAACACUGCUGCAACAUACAUAAAUGUGGC